rnacentral:rRNA from 1 species
CCUACGGGUGGCAGCAGUGGGGAAUAUUGGACAAUGGGCGAAAGCCUGAUCCAGCCAUGCCGCGUGUGUGAAGAAGGCCUUCGGGUUGUAAAUCACUUUCAGUGGGGAAGAAAGCCUUGGGGCUAAUACCCUCGAGGAAGGACAUCACCCACAGAAGAAGCACCGGCUAACUCCGUGCCAGCACGCCGCGGUAAUACGGAGGGUGCGAGCGUUAAUCGGAAUUACUGGGCGUAAAGCGCGCGUAGGCGGUCUGAUAAGCCGGUUGUGAAAGCCCCGGGCUCAACCUGGGAACGGCAUCCGGAACUGUCAGGCUAGAGUGCAGGAGAGGAAGGUAGAAUUCCCGGUAUAGCGGUGAAAUGCGUAGAGAUCGGGAGGAAUACCAGUGGCGAAGGCGGCCUUCUGGACUGACACUGACGCUGAGGUGCGAAAGCGUGGGUAGCAAACAGGAUUAGAUACCCGAGUAGUC